rnacentral:rRNA from 1 species
UCCGGUGGUUAUGGCGAAGAGGUCACACCCGUUCCCAUCCCGAACACGGCCGUUAAGCUCUUCAGCGUCGAUGGUAGUUGGGGGCUUCCCCCUGCAAGAGUAGAACGCCGCCGGGC